AUGCGAACCCGAGGGAUUAAAAAAACCGGCCGUCGGCGAGUAUUUAUUGAAUUUUUGUUUAGAGACGAGGACAAUUAUCUUAUCGCGUGGAGGGUCUUGACGACGCCGGAGCAAUGUAAAACGGCCCAUUGGUUAUUUUUUAGAGACACGGCAAGCCAUAUGAAUGAUGAACCUUUCAAAGAUAUGGCACAUAAAUGUAAUUAUCCCAGUGGCUAUGCCCAUGAGCUGGAAGAAGUGGAAAUACACAGGGAAGUGUUGGAGGACAUUGAGAUCUUCCUCAGGGAUCUCUACGAGAAUCCUUUGCAGAAGACACAUGCUCGAGGCUCCUUGUAUUUUCACACAUUGUUCGUAUUGUUUGGAGAAUGCCCGCGUUUCGCCCCCGUAGAUGAUAACUCUGCUGGCAGCAUCACGAAACACCAAAGAUAUGUUGAUCCUCAAGGCACAGGUUGUCUACAUGAUCUUAUAAAAUGCUGGAAGAAGAUUUCGUUCACCAUCUUAUUACUCAAGCUGCUGCUUGUGGAGGAAUCCAUGAUUGCUGGUAUCAAGCAAACAAGGCCCCAUUUCUGUGAUUCUCGAAGGGUCAGUCCUCAGUUUCAGGCUCUCUUUGAUGAGGCAAAGCUGCACAGAAAGAAGAUUCUGGAAAGGCUGGCUUCUUUGUAUAAGGAUGCAAAGGACCUUGACGUGUUUGCUGCUUUGAACAAGCAAGUUAUUGAGGCUGACGGUGAUGUGGGCGACGCAACCUUGCAGCGAAUGGUCACUCACUUCCUUCACCUCGUCAGGUUUGACAAAGACCUUAUGCCAGCUAUACUGGUGAGACAGGAUGACUUUCAGGGUGGGCUCAGUUUGAAAUUUUAG
rnacentral:rRNA from 1 species